GAUGAAGAACGCAGCGAAAUGCGAUAAGUAAUGUGAAUUGCAGAAUUCAGUGAAUCAUCGAAUCUUUGAACGCACAUUGCGCCCGCCAGUAUUCUGCGGGCAUGCCUGUUCGAGCGUCAUUUCAACCCUCAAGCCCCCGGGCUUGGUGUUGGGGAUCGGCGUGCCCUCGCGGCGCGCCGUCCCCUAAAUCUAGUGGCGGUCUCGCUGUAGCUUCCUCUGCGUAGUAGCAACACUCGCACUGGAUCGCAGCGCGGCCACGCCGUUAAACCCCCCACUUCUGAAAGGUUGACCUCGGAUCAGGUAGGAAUACCCGCUGAACUUAAGCAUAUCAAUAAGCGGAGGA
rnacentral:misc_RNA from 1 species